AUUCCCCUAGUAACGGCGAGUGAAGAGGGAAGAGCCCAAGAUUGAAAGCUGGCGCCUUCGGUUCCGCAUUGUAAUCUCAAGAAGCAUUUUCCGCUUCUGACCAAGCCUAAGUCCCUUGGAAAAGGGCAUCGUAGAGGGUGAGAAUCCCGUACAUGGCUUGGAGCGCCCGAGGCUUUGUGAUAUGCAUUCUAAGAGUCGAGUUGUUUGGGAAUGCAGCUCAAAAUGGGUGGUAAAUGCCAUCUAAGGCUAAAUAUUGGGGAGAGACCGAUAGCGAACAAGUACCGUGAGGGAAAGAUGAAAAGAACUUUGAAAAGAGAGUUAAACAGUACGUGAAAUUGCCAAAAGGGAAGGGUAGGAGGUCAGAGAUGCGGCAUGGGAUUCAGCCUUGCUUUUGCUUGGUGUUUUUCCCAUUUUGCAGGCCAACGUCGGUUUUGGGCACUGGAGAAUGGUGGGAGGAAUGUGGCACUCUUCGGGGUGUGUUAUAGCCUCCUACUGGAUACAGCGACCGGGACCGAGGAACGCAGCGUACUCGAAAGAGCGGGCCUUCGGGCACCUUUACGCUUAGGGCGUUGGCAUAAUGACCCUCUACCACCCGUCUUGAAACACGGACCAAGGAGUCUAACAUGUAUGCGAGUCUUUGGGUGGCAAACCCGUAGGCGCAAUGAAAGUGAAUUCAGAUGGGAUCCGCAAGGUGCACCAUCGACCGAUCCUCACGUCUUUUAAGUCGUGGAUUUGAGUAAGAGCAUGCCUGUUGGGACCCGAAAGAUGGUGAACUAUGCCUGAAUAGGGCGAAGCCAGAGGAAACUCUGGUGGAGGCUCGUAGCGGUUCUGACGUGCAAUCGAUCGUCAAAUUUGGGUAUAGGGGCGAAAGACUAAUCGAACCAUCUAGUAGCUGGUUCCUGCCGA
rnacentral:rRNA from 1 species